rnacentral:tRNA from 1 species
GGGCAGUUAGCUCAGCUGGUUCAGAGCGUCUGGUUUACACCCAGAAGGUCGUGGGUUCAAAUCCCUCACUGCCCA